rnacentral:rRNA from 1 species
AUUGAACGCUGGCGGCAGGCUUAACACAUGCAAGUCGAGCGGGGUGAUGGUGCUUGCACUAUCACUUAGCGGCGGACGGGUGAGUAAUGCUUAGGAAUCUGCCUAUUAGUGGGGGACAACAUCUCGAAAGGGAUGCUAAUACCGCAUACGUCCUACGGGAGAAAGCAGGGGAUCACUUGUGCCCUUGCGCUAAAUAGAUGAGCCUAAGUCGGAUUAGCUAUUUGGUGGGGUAAAGGCCUACCAAGGCGACGAUCUGUAGCGGGUCUGAGAGGAUGAUCCGCCACACUGGGACUGAGACACGGACCAGACUCCUACGGGAGGCAGCAGUGGGGAAUAUUGGACAAUGGGGGGAACCCUGAUCCAGCCAUGCCGCGUGUGUGAAGAAGGCCUUAUGGUUGUAAAGCACUUUAAGCGAGGAGGAGGCUCUUUUGGUUAAUACCCAAGAUGAGUGGACGUUACUCGCAGAAUAAGCACCGGCUAACUCUGUGCCAGCCGCCGCCGUAA